rnacentral:lncRNA from 1 species
AUGAGUUUCACUCCUCUAUCCUGCGGUGGGGGCGGUACAGGUGCCCUGUUCAACAGGAAACAGUUACAGAAGAAUGGCCUUCAUCUUUCAAAAACGAGGAGCAAAACGUCUAAUGGAGAUUUUGUAACCACAAGUGCAGGAUUUAGGGGGGGGCAUAGGAUGAUCAGCAGAGAAGCUGAGACAGUUUACUUGCCUGAACUUGCUUUCCUGGAGGGCUUACCCUACACCAUGUACACAGCACGUGUACUACAUACCACUACACACCCACAAACAAGCAAAGCUCCAAUAAACCAGUCCGGGACUUUUCAGCUAGUGUACAGAGAUGCCAUGGGAAGCAGGAAGGGAACGGCCACUUGCCCUUCUUCUGCAUCUAGGCACUUCCUUAGGAACCCUGGCACACCGCCUCUUGGGGACUCAGUUUCCUUGGGGACCAUGUCUUCCCACUGUCCUCUAGCUGUCACAGUGAACGAAGCUUUCUUCCGGGCAACUCCCGCGCCAGGAUGGGUAUUUGGUGAACCCCUGGUGUCCAAGAUUGAUACCCGACACCGUGAUUCCCAAAUUCUAGCCUUAACAAGUCGCUUUUUUUUUUCCCCUUGUGCUGACUUUUUACCUGAAUUCUGUCUCACUUGCUAUAAAGAAAUCAGCAGCGUUGGCACUCUGCCAAGAGCAGAAUCUCAGUCGGUUUUCUGGCGAUCCUGCAGAUACGCCUCGUCCCCUGCAAUUCUCUUUAAGAUUUUUAAAAAUUUAAUUGAAAGAGAACAGAGGGGCCGGCGCUGUGGCAUAUCGGGUAAAGCUGCGGUCUGCAGCACUGGCAUCCCGUAUGGGCACCGGUUCGAGUCCCAGCUGCUCCACUUCCGAUCCAGCUCUCUGCUAUGGCCUGGGAAAGCAAUGGAAGAUGGCCCAGGUCCUUGGGUCCCUGCACCCACGUGGGAGAUCUGGAAGAAGCUCCUGCCUCCCUGGUUCGGAUGGGCGCAGCUCCGGCCGCUGCGGCCAUCUGGGGAGUGA